UUUGACGUUAGCGACAGAAGAAGCACCGGCUAACUCCGUGCCAGCAGCCGCGGUAAUACGGAGGGUGCGAGCGUUAAUCGGAAUUACUGGGCGUAAAGCGCAUGCAGGUGGUUUGUUAAGUCAGAUGUGAAAGCCCGGGGCUCAACCUCGGAAUUGCAUUUGAAACUGGCAGACUAGAGUACUGUAGAGGGGGGUAGAAUUUCAGGUGUAGCGGUGAAAUGCGUAGAGAUCUGAAGGAAUACCGGUGGCGAAGGCGGCCCCCUGGACAGAUACUGACACUCAGAUGCGAAAGCGUGGGGAGCAAACAGGAUUAGAUACCCUGGUAGUCCACGCCGUAAACGAUGUCUACUUGGAGGUUGUGGCCUUGAGCCGUGGCUUUCGGAGCUAACGCGUUAAGUAGACCGCCUGGGGAGUACGGUCGCAAGAUUAAAACUCAAAUGAAUUGACGGGGGCCCGCACAAGCGGUGGAGCAUGUGGUUUAAUUCGAUGCAACGCGAAGAACCUUACCUACUCUUGACAUCCAGAGAACUUUCCAGAGAUGGAUUGGUGCCUUCGGGAACUCUGAGACAGGUGCUGCAUGGCUGUCGUCAGCUCGUGUUGUGAAAUGUUGGGUUAAGUCCCGCAACGAGCGCAACCCUUAUCCUUGUUUGCCAGCGAGUAAUGUCGGGA
rnacentral:rRNA from 1 species